GACGAACGCUGGCGGCGUGCUUAACACAUGCAAGUCGAACGGAAAGGCCUCUUUCGGGGGGUACUCGAGUGGCGAACGGGUGAGUAACACGUGAGUAACCUGCCCUUGACUUUGGGAUAACUUCAGGAAACUGGGGCUAAUACCGGAUAGGAGCUCCUGCUGCAUGGUGGGGGUUGGAAAGUUUCGGCGGUUGGGGAUGGACUCGCGGCUUAUCAGCUUGUUGGUGGGGUAGUGGCUUACCAAGGCUUUGACGGGUAGCCGGCCUGAGAGGGUGACCGGCCACAUUGGGACUGAGAUACGGCCCAGACUCCUACGGGAGGCAGCAGUGGGGAAUAUUGCACAAUGGGUGGAAGCCUGAUGCAGCAACGCCGGGUGCGGGAUGACGGCCUUCGGGUUGGAAACCGCUUUCGCUCAUGACGAAGCUUUGUGUGACGGUAAUGGGUAAAGAAGCACCGGCUAACUACGUG
rnacentral:rRNA from 1 species